GAAGGAAUUGAGGAAAUCUGCUAUUUUCUUAAUGCUGCUGGUGAUCACUUCGAUAUAUUCACGGUUCGCCCAGUCUUGAUGAAUUUCCCUUUGCACGGGAUCCUCCUGUCCGGCCAUCGUGAGCUAGUGAGCUAGUUAGCAAUAGCAUUAGCCGCUGACUGAGAGGAAGGAGCAGCGCCCCCUGAUGGACAAACACACCGUUCAUUGUGGAUACUACGGGGAAUGGAGGGAUUUGAAAAUAAACACAAAUAGGCGAUUUGUAAAAGUAAAAGAGUGAUGUCAAGCAAGUUUAGAAACUGUAGGCGAAGCCUUGCUGCCGCUUUGGAUCAGGCAGCAGAAGAGGUUCCUGAUUUAUCAUCAUUGUCUCCAAACAACUGCAGCCUGAUUAGAACAUCACAGGAGGACACGUAUGUAUUUGACCACUGCACAGAGAGGCCAGAUUGCAUGUGUUUUUUUGUGCGUAUACUGUUUUAUCAGUGAUAAAUGUGCUGCAGUUGGCCUAAUUAUCAUGCCUGUCACCAAUAACGAGGGCGUUUUCUAUAAAUAGGAAUGAAGACUUUCAGUGCCGCACAUGGUCUGCAAAACUGCAAGAUCCUCAUGGGCUCCUCGAUGCGCAGACCUUGGAGGAUCUUGUGGCAAAGCUGGAGUUUGAAAAUGAGCUGAACCGCGUCUACAGUAGAUUCCUGCAAAGUAAAAACCAAGACCAUGGAAAGAACACAGAAAGUGUUAAUAGCGAGGUGGAAGAGGGAAGUACAGGCUACUGGGUUCACGAUAGUAAGGAGGAAUAUUCCUUCUUGCUAGACAUGAUUCUUGAGAUUGAGCGGGACAAUGACUUCACUGCUGACUGUGAUGUCAGUGCUUUGGAGCGGGACUUACAGUUAUCACCAUAGUUUUGGUGCCCUCAACGAUUUAUAUGUUAUACUUCUUUUCAGUUUGAAGGAAAUGGGGUCAUUUCCAAAAGAAAAUAUAAGCUACUAAAAAAUUGGGGCUACUUGCAAAGUUGUAUAGAUGUAUGUUUGUAUAGCAGAGUUUAUAGCAAUACAGUAUAUACAUGUCAUUCUUAAUUAGUACUUGUGUAAAUUAAUUUAUUUCUGCUCUAGGAAUCAAUAUCAAUAAAACAGAUUAAUAAUCACUCCAUUCUAAAGGACAAAUUAUCCAUUUUUUAACAUUGAUCUGUUUAAAUUACAAGGAAAAAAACUACAUUGUCUGACUCACACUGAAUAAAAUACACAUGGUUCGU